UCUCCGUUGGUGAACCAGCGGAGGGAUCAUUACAGAGUUGCAAAACUCCCAAACCAUUGUGAACCUUACCUUCAAACCGUUGCUUCGGCGGGCGGGCCGUCCCGGCCCCGCCCGGCCCCCCCACCCCGGGGGGCGCCCGCCGGAGGUAUCUAACUCUUUGUCACUUAUGGCCUCUCUGAGUCUUCUGUACUGAAUAAGUCAAAACUUUCAACAACGGAUCUCUUGGUUCUG
rnacentral:misc_RNA from 1 species